ACCUGGCCCCCAUUGGGACUUAACUUUGAAAAGGAAAAGAAGAGCAAAAGAUGAUGAUGUCGUAAGCCUUAGCAGCCUUGAUCUGAAGGAGGGCGAGUGCUGGGGGUUUUGUUUGGGGUUUCUUUGCACUUUGCAUUUUUUAAAUGUAAAACUGAAUAAUAUUGGCUCUUGCAGAUAGUUCGCCUUCUUUGUUAAGAAUGAGCAGAAAAUCUCCCGCAAAACAAUGUUGGCCGAUAGUGGUGUCUCAGACUCCCCUGCCUGCAGAGACCAGGCCUGUGGUUUGUGCACAGAAGGGACAGGGACGGAGGGCACCGCACCGCUGCUGCUGUGCUCCAGCCCACUGCUGGAGGCGGGAUUGUCCACAUCUGGGCUCCGUGGGAAGUCUCCUAAAUUUUAAAUGUGGGAUUUUUUUUCUAAAAAAUCAUGAAGACCAAACAACUUGUCUAGAGGCCAGAUGUGGCCCAGGGGUUUCUGGAGUGUGACACAUGAUAAACUAAAGCUCAAUGCACACGUCAAAACAAUUAUGUAUAUUCUUCUGUAAAGUUGUAGUUAAGUCCAAAAAUCUGGUAUCUUUGGAAUUAUUUCAUUUUUUGUCAGUUGGCAAGUUUUACAGAACCAUGUUAGUUUUAAGAAAUCUUUUUAAAAAGAUUGUUACGAAAAGUUAUACAUUUUAAGUGAGAUUUUUUAAAAAAGUUUGACAUCACAUUUAAUGAUGACAGCCUCUGCUUAUUUUUAACAAUAAGCUAUCUUCUAAAAAUUAAAUUUUUAUAGGUCUGCUCAUCAAAAGUUGAGCAAAUCUGGCAAGCCAGAUUUUUUGGAGGGUGUGUACAUAAUGUCUUUAUAGAAGAAUUUAGGCUUUUUGCAAAACAACUUUAGUUGCAUUUUCUUAAAUCUUGUUUUCAAAGAAAGAAAAAGGUGUUGUAGUUAAAUUGAGCCUCUAUCGUUCCUCUUUAUUAACUGGACUACUUCUGUAAAGAGAAACUUCCCUUCGUCAACCAUCUGGUUACGCCAAGGUACUGAUUUAUAAUAAAGGCAGGCCAGGUACUUGAUUCCUUCCUUUUACUAGUUUUCAAAAAUUAUGGAUUUUCUUCAUUUGAAUUCUCUAAAAGUAAGUAAUGAUUUUUUUCUCUUUUGAUAUGUUACGAACUCAUGGAUGUGGACACAUUUGAUAUGUUAUGCCUCGAUCCACUUUAAUUAUUAGUUUUACUGUGCUCGCAUUAUCCCGUCUUUGACCAUGGUUGCUGCCUCAAGGUGGCACCUUUGUCCUUUGCUCCCCAAGCUUUAAGAUGUAGCUGACAUAGGACAUCGUGUAAAUUUAAGUGUGCAGCGUGUUGAUUUCCUGUGUCCUUUUGUCACGGCUCUUGCCUCAGAUCUAGAAGCUGAAUAAAUAGCCUCCUUUUCUUCCUGGAUGACAAGUUAUUCCAGGCCUACCUACUUUUUUUUUUCUCUUUUUUUUUUCCACACCUGGAAUCAGUCAUUUCCAAAAGCCCUAGUUUUAGAGGCUAAAAUCGGGGCACGAGGAGCACUUGUUGCUACUAAUCGAUCAUUGUUUCUAGGCCUUUUAAUGGGCAGAGCUAGAAAACAUAUAUACUUUUGAGAUAAACUAACUCAUGAGUUUAUAUUGCGAUUUUUAAAGUCAGUGCUAAAGGGUCUUUUUCUUAAUCUCCUUAAUCUUAACAAUCUAGAUCUUUUUCAACUAUACCAACAAUCUGGGUUCUAUGAGACAAAAUUACUCUCGAUUUACUCAUGAGUUAGUUCUUUGCUAUGUGUAAUUAUGCCAAUGCACUUUUUUAUUUGCAAGAUUUAAGAAUUACUCCUUUUUAAAUUUUUCUUAGAAUUGUGUAACAAAAUUGUAUACAGUUUUAAAGUCAGCUCUACAAGAUUCUUGUUUCUAUCCCUGGCUCCUCUCCUCUACUUCUUUCUUCUGUACAAAAUGUUUUUGGUUUCUUUCACCAAUUUUAUGGUUUAUUCUUCCACUUUUUAAAGUCAUAAGCAGUUGCAUGUAUGUUUAUGUAUCCCACUUUUUUGAUAAACAGUAGCAUACUGUCUUUCAUUACAUGUUCUAUUUUUACACUCUUUUUGGUUUUGCUUGUAUGUUUUGCUAUAUCUUUCAGUAUUUGGAAGAUUCAUGGUUUUGUUCUGUCGGUUGUCUUUAUGGGAUGCCUUCAGUCCCCUCUCUUUGGCUGCGGUAAAUUUGUUCAUUCCCGUGAGCGUUAUUUUAAUCAACCAGCACCUCUUCUCCUUCCUCUCUUCUCCUUGUUUUCUGAGGUCUUUCUUUCUGCUCCCCGUCUCUUUUAUCUGGACUUCUUGUCUUUGCUUCUGUUGCCCUUUUCUGCUCAAUUUGGACCCUACUCCUAGCAGUUUUUCUCAGUGCAGUGUUCUUUUCAAGAGUUUCUAUGGCCAAGGGCGACUGUUGCAGCACCAGUAAACCUUGUUACCUGGCAGUGUCCUUGCCCUUGGCCUAAGGCUUUGGUCCUCGGAGUCCUUCCCAGUUUAGAGCGCUGUUCUCAGACUAGGGUGCCAUGGUAGGGGUUCCCUACUCUUGGGACCAUCAGAGAAGCCCUGCUGCCCUCCCUCUCCUUCUCUGUCAGAUACUGAAACCCUGUGAGUCUCGUAGCUGUUCCGUGUGCCUCCAUUAGACCAACAGAAGGUUUGGGGGAAACACGUUCUUUUUUGGUGUAUAUUUUAGAUUUUCUGUGUUCUAUGUUACUUGCUACAUCUCUUUUUUUUUUUCCUUUAAAGAGGGAACGCCUGUCAAAGAUUAACACAUGGAUGAGUGAGCUAACAGAAUGGUAAAGCUGGUGCGAGGACUAUAGGAAACACUGAAGCAUUCUAAUCCCAGAGAGAGGUGGAAUAAGAUUGCUGCAUUUUAUACGAGACAGAUCAAUGUCCCCAUCUGCAUCUCUGCCUACAGAAUGUAUUUGCAUUGCUACAGAAUUAACAUCUACCUUGACAGAGUUGGU
rnacentral:lncRNA from 1 species